rnacentral:rRNA from 1 species
CCAAUAGCGUAUAUUAAAGUUGUUGCAGUUAAAAAGCUCGUAGUUGAAUUUCGGGAUCAAUUUAUUGGUCGUGCCAAUGGUACGCACUGGUACAAUUGGUUUCUCCCUUCUGACGAAGCAUGAUGUCAUUAACUUGGUGUCGUGGGGAAUCAGGACUGUUACUUUGAAAAAAUUAGAGUGUUUAAAGCAGGCUUUGGCUUGAAUACGUUAGCAUGGAAUA